rnacentral:rRNA from 1 species
UACGUAGGGUGCGAGCGUUGUCCGGAAUUAUUGGGCGUAAAGAGCUUGUAGGCGGUUUGUCGCGUCUGCUGUGAAAAUCCGGGGCUCAACCUCGGACUUGCAGUGGGUACGGGCAGACUAGAGUGUGGUAGGGGAGACUGGAAUUCCUGGUGUAGCGGUGAAAUGCGCAGAUAUCAGGAGGAACACCGAUGGCGAAGGCAGGUCUCUGGGCCACUACUGACGCUGAGAAGCGAAAGCAUGGGGAGCGAACAGGAUUAGAUA